rnacentral:rRNA from 1 species
UACGGGGGGGGCAAGCGUUGUUCGGAAUUACUGGGCGUAAAGGGCUCGUAGGCGGCCAACUAAGUCAGACGUGAAAUCCCUCGGCUUAACCGGGGAACUGCGUCUGAUACUGGAUGGCUUGAGUUCGGGAGAGGGAUGUGGAAUUCCAGGUGUAGCGGUGAAAUGCGUAGAUAUCUGGAGGAACACCGGUGGCGAAGGCGGCAUCCUGGACCGACACUGACGCUGAUGAGCGAAAGCCAGGGGAGCAAACAGG